AGAAGCUUGCUUCUCUUGAGAGCGGCGGACGGGUGAGUAAUGCCUAGGAAUCUGCCUAUUGGUGGGGGAUAACGUUCGGAAACGGACGCUAAUACCGCAUACGUCCUACGGGAGAAAGCGGGGGAUCUUCGGACCUCGCGCCAUUGGAUGAGCCUAGGGCGGAUUACCUAGUUGGUGAGGUAAUGGCUCACCAAGGCGACCAUCCGUAACUGGUCUGAGAGGAUGAUCAGUCACACUGGAACUGAGACACGGUCCAAACUCCUACCGGAGGCACCACUGGGGAAUAUUGGACAAUGGGCGAAAGCCUGAUCCAGCCAUGCCGCGUGUGUGAAGAAGGUCUUCAGAUUGUAAAGCACUUUAAGUUGGGAGGAAGGGCAGUAACCUAAUACGUUAUUGUUUUGACGUUACCGACAGAAUAAGCACCGGCUAACUUCGUGCCAACAGCCGCGGUAAUACGAAGGGUGCAAGCGUUAAUCGGAAUUACUGGGCGUAAAGCGCGCGUAGGUGGUUCAGUAAGUUGGAAGUGAAAUCCCCGGGCUCAACCUGGGAACUGCUUUCAAAACUGCUGAGCUAGAGUACGGUAGAGGGUGGUGGAAUUUCCUGUGUAGCGGUGAAAUGCGUAGAUAUACGAAGGAACACCAGUGGCCAACGCG
rnacentral:rRNA from 1 species